rnacentral:rRNA from 1 species
GUGGGGAAUUUUGGACAAUGGGCGAAAGCCUGAUCCAGCCAUGCCGCGUGCAGGAUGAAGGCCUUCGGGUUGUAAACUGCUUUUGUACGGAACGAAAAGACUCCUUCUAAUAAAGGGGGUCCAUGACGGUACCGUAAGAAUAAGCACCGGCUAACUACGUGCCAGCAGCCGCGGUAAUACGUAGGGUGCAAGCGUUAAUCGGAAUUACUGGGCGUAAAGCGUGCGCAGGCGGUUAUAUAAGACAGAUGUGAAAUCCCCGGGCUCAACCUGGGAACUGCAUUUGUGACUGUAUAGCUAGAGUACGGUAGAGGGGGAUGGAAUUCCACGUGUAGCAGUGAAAUGCGUAGAUAUGCGGAGGAACACCGAUGGCGAAGGCAAUCCCCUGGACCUGUACUGACGCUCAUGCACGAAAGCGUGGGGAGCAAACAGGAUUAGAUACCCGGGUAGUCC